rnacentral:lncRNA from 7 species
AUCUUCUUUUGAUUCUACAGAAGGAGUUUGCCAAGAUGAUUUUUAUUAUAUAUUUCCUCUAAAAAGACAUUUCCCCGGUCUUCACCUGGCUUCUGGUGAGUUGGUGGGUUUAUGCUUUGCUCAGCUUCAGGUUUCUACUGCGAUCUGAAGACAAAUGUUACAGGCAGCAGUGCACUUUGAUGGCCAAGUGGCUGAGAAGUACUACAUCUGUGACAAACAUUUCUGGUUGCUGCAGGAAUUCUGUCCAGUGACUUCCAUAACAGGAUUACCUACUUGCAUCCCUGAAUGAAGAGUCUUAUAUUCCAGAAGUAAUAUAGCUUCCACUGGGAUUAAUCAGAAAAGAGAGACGACACAAUGGGCAUCUUGAAAUCUCUGAACUGUUAAAACAUCAGUUCUUAAGCCACCAGUUUUUACUACCUGCUGGUCUGAUAAAGAAUCAGAUUUUUCCAUUGGCUACUGCUCUCAGUAGCACAGGGUGUGCUUACUAACCCUGGUCUGAAUAAGUGGUACUGCAGUGGCACCAAAGUGUAAGAAGACCAAAUUUUAAAUAAGCAAAAUAUGUCCCACAGAGAAAGAACUAGUCUCAUGUCAAUAAAACAUAGGCAUAUGUCAGCAUUGGUGGCCUU